rnacentral:rRNA from 1 species
GGUGCUGCAUGGCUGUCGUCAGCUCGUGUCGUGAGAUGUUGGGUUAAGUCCCGCAACGAGCGCAACCCUUACCCUUAGUUGCCAGCGGGUAAAUGCCGGGCACUCUAACGAAACUGCCGGUGUAAACCGUGAGGAAGGUGGGGAUGACGUCAAAUCAGCACGGCCCUUAUGUCCAGGGCUACACACGUGUUACAAUGGCCGGUACAGAGGGCAGCUACCUGGAGACAGGAUGCGAAUCUCCAAAGCCGGUCUCAGUUCGGAUCGGAGUCUGCAACUCGACUCCGUGAAGCUGGAUUCGCUAGUAAUCGCGCAUCAGCCAUGGCGCGGUGAAUACGUUCCCGGGCCUU